rnacentral:misc_RNA from 1 species
CCACAUUUGUAAUAUUACAAAAUCAACUUCACUCCUGCAAACAUAGUUAAAUCAAAUGCGCGCACACACAUAUGUCUAUUUAUUGUAAUAAUUAUAUGACUCUUUAUAUGCUCUUCACAUAUGAUAGCAACUGAGAAAUUGGAGGAGCAGAGACUCAUAACUGACGCCACCUGCUAAUAGCCAAUAGACUAAACUAAGGGCAACUAAUUCUUCACAUACUUAAAUCUCCACACAAUUCACUUAUUAACUCAAACACACAUACUAAUAUUUAUAAUUUAUAUUUCCAAUAGUAGUAGUAGCAUCUUCAAGGAUAAACCUCGAUGAGAGCUCUGGGGCCUAGUACAGGGUUAAUCUUGUACUUGCUGAAUCCAGCACUGAAGAAGAGAUUUGCCCACUCCUUUUCGUUUCGCUGCUUACCAACCAGACAUGACAUCCCUUCUAUAUCAAAUAACAGCUUCGUUUCAGUGAACUUAUCAUCAUCAUCCUGGUCCCCCACCACCAUGUCAAUUAUUAUGACCUUCCCUCCUUGCUUGUCGUUUCUGGUAACAAGUGCCUCUUUGCAAUUCUUGAGUAUCUUCACGCAUUCUUCGUCCCUCCAAUCAUGCAAUGUCCACUUCAGUAAAAUUGCAUCAGCAGGAGGAACAGCCUUAAACAUGUCUCCUCCAAGAAAAUUCAAGUUCUUGCUGCCUUGCAAAUCAGCAACAACAUGUGGUUGAUCAAACACAGUGCACUUCAAGUCUGGGAAUGAAUCAGCAAUGGCCUUUGCCAUAUUUCCGGUGCCACCUGCAACAUCAACUAACGAAUUCAGCCCCUCGAAUACCUCCUUACACUUGAUAAUCACCGCCUUGCCAAUCAGGGAGCUAUCACCACCCAUGGAUGCAUUAAUCAGACGAUUAAACCCAGAUUCACGGCUUGACUUUUCCCACAUUGUCUCUCCAAAGGCAGUGACAAAUGCUGAAGGAUCAUCAUUUUGGAACCAAGUGCUCAUGCAAUUAUAUGGUUCCGUUAGAAUUGGAUCAAGCACCAGAGUAAUGAGGUGACUGGAACCAAAAGGGUUGUCCUUAAGGAGGAGACGAGAAGCAGGGGUAAGGAAAUAGCCUUCUUGGGAGUGAUUAUCAGCAACUUUCUGCAAAGCAAAGAAACCCGAGUGAAUAAGAAGACGCAUAAGACGGUAGAGAUGUUGUGUUUUUGUAGGGUGGACUGAUAGAGCAGAAACCAGCUCAGAAAGAGUCAUGGGUUUGCCAUGGCUGUUAAUGGCAUCUGAUAUGCCUAGUUGAACUGCACAUUUUAGGGACAUGGAUUUGAUGAAGUAAAACAUAUGAUCCCAUAUAUGAGUUUGAGCUUGAAUUAGCUCAUCUAUGGUUUCUCCACUAACCAACUCCAUCAAUUAAUCGACUCUUUUAGUAAUCUAAA